AAUCGGUGUUUCCUGUAUCUGUCUCUCUCAAGCUUCAAUCUACUCUCUCUCAUCUUUACAUCUUCAAUCGGCGUUUCCUUUCUCUGUCUCUCUCAAGCUUCAAUCUACUUCAUCCUCAUCUUUUUUAACAAUGGUGUUUAAAGUUCGUAUCUUUUGGUCCCAAAACCCAGUUUGCAUUUCUUAUUUGGCAAUAACUUUGAGGAAGCCACUAGAAUAGUGGAUCAAAGAGGAGUCUAGAUGAUUUCAAUUCAAUGGCAGGGUCGACCUCUGCAGUCACUGCAGGUCUCGCUUUUCCCCAUAUCAGUCGCAAGGAACCCUAAUUUUGAGCCGCCAACCCAUCUAUUUCCCCUAAUUGAAGGAAUCCCAUAAAUUUCUCCACAAUCACUCUAGGAUCAACCAAAGAUAUCCUUGACCUGCAAUUCCAAUUUGAGUUCAAAAAUUCGACUGCAAAAUUGAAUCUGUUACAGUUUCAAAUAGGAUCAACUUCAAAGUAGACCCAUAUCUUCUGAUUAAUUUGUUCUCAAUUUCCACAGUUUUCUUCCCCUAUUUGUUCUUAUCUGACCUCAUCUUUCUGAACUGAGUUUUUUAAUACGGUGUUGCUCAAUUUUUAAUACGGUGUUGCUUCUAUUAAAUUUUGUGGUAGGAGACUCAAAAGUUCACAAGGAGGACGCAAAGUCAAUGAGCUACAAGGUAAUAUCUUAAAUCUAUGGGAGAAACUUAGGUGCAGUUGUAUACCUGCUGUUGGUACUGUUUGCUAAUAGGAAUAAAACACGUGGAUUAUAAUUAAACCUCACCAAAAUCUAAUUAUAUUAAAUUUCACACCGUUACCCUCCGUUAUCUCUUAAAAAUGGUUUCUUUCUCCCCCUUUUCACUCUGCCUCCCACCACAACAAUCACCUUCUGGCUUCUGUACACCGAUUACGGCAAACACGCUGGUCGUUGGGCAUGUCUUCAUUUGUGAUUCUGCAUUCACGCUGCUUCUUUCCUUCCCCUUCUUCCAAGCCUUCCAUUCACUCUCUCUCUCUCUCUAACUUCACGUUAUGCAGCAGACCCAUUUCAUAUUGAGGUUAUGCAGCAGACCCAUUUAUUGUUUUAUGUGGAAAAGUUAUAAUUUGUUUGCCUGGAAGGGUUUGUAAUUGGAAACGGAACGUGGGUACUUGAGCAUUAUGUUAUUGUUUGAGCAGAUCUGUGGGUGGAAGGAAGGUUUAUGGAAGAAUUGGAAUCCAUGAUUAAAGGGAAGGUUUUAGAUUUCUGUUGCCGGUGUUUGGCGUCAGAAGUCAAAACCCCUUCAAUUUGAAGAUCUGUGACAGAGCAGAGUAAAAUUUGAAACUAAAAUUCAAAUGCAGCUGGGGUACUGAAGAGGAAAAUCACACAAGGAAGGUGGUAGUUGAAGGCCUAUAAGCUUUUGAUAUUAAAAGCUUUGAGAGUGAAUUUGGACCUUUGCCGCUGUGAUGGUACCUGAGCUGGGCAAGGGCACUUGAAUGUGUUGCAAGUCUAUUAUUGAGCAGAAGGGUGUGUCCAAAUGCAGCUUGUGGCACUUUGAAGAGGAAAAUCACCCAAAGAAGGUGGCAGUGGUUAGCAAAGUGUAUGGUAGUGUUAGAAACCUCUUUAAGUGUGCGGCUGCAAUUAUCACAAUUAUGGACCUCUUCCUAUUUUUUGCUGGUUUAAUUGGCUGUAGUUUUUUUCAUUGGCUGUAGAUUUUUUUCUCUUUUUAUUAGUUAGAAUGAACUAUGGUAGUGUAUGUUCUAUGUAAUGUAGGCUCUUUUGUACCAAAUGGCAAGUGAUAUGGCUAUAUCAUUAGCAUGUAAUGAAAUGAUUUUUAUUUUCUAUGAUGAAUGAGAAUGGAAAUUGAUUUAUAUCCA